rnacentral:lncRNA from 1 species
UAAUGGGGUGGGUGGGUGACGUCCCCAACGUCACGCGUGUCCCCAACGUCACGCGUGUCCCCAACGUCACGCCAGGACACGCGUGUGUCCCCAACAGCCGCCCAACGUCACACACAGAGAUGUCACACGUGUCCCCAAGGUCACACGUGUCCCCAAUGAUGUCACACGUGUCCCCAAGGUCACACGUGUCCCCAAUGAUGUCACACGUGUCCCCAAAGUCCCAAUGGGCCACACGUGUCCCCGAUGACGUCACACGUGUCUCCAAGGUCCCACGCGUCCCCGGUGACGUCACGCGUGUCCCUGGAGACGUCACACGCGUGUCCCCGGAGACGUCACACGCGUGUCCCCAGGUGUCACACGCGUGUCCCCAGGUGUCACACGAGGACGUGAGCCACCGGCACUUUGGUGGAGCGGCCGCCCCGUGGCACCAGGAGGUCCCCAUCCGCGUCCUCAGCGCCCGCCGGUGGCUCUGGGGACAAAAGGGACAGAGGUGACAAAGUGG